rnacentral:rRNA from 1 species
CAGCAGCCGCGGUAAUACGUAGGGUGCGAGCGUUGCCCGGAUUUAUUGGGCGUAAAGGGCGCGUAGGCGGUCACGCACGUCCGUUGUGAAAUCGCUCGGCUCAACUGGGCGGGGUCAGCGGAUACGGCGUGGCUGGAGCAAGCUAGGGGGCAAUGGAAUUCCCGGUGUAGUGGUGGAAUGCGUAGAUAUCGGGAGGAACACCAGUGGCGAAGGCGGUUGCCUGGAGCUUUGCUGACGCUGAUGCGCGAACGCGUGGGGAGCGAUCCGGAUUAGAUACCCGGGUAGUCCACGCCGUAAACGAUGCGGACUAGGUGUCGGGGGUAUCGACCCCCUCGGCGCCGCAGCUAACGCAUUAAGUCCGCCGCCUGGGGACUACGGCCGCAAGGCUAAAACUCAAAGGAAUUGACGG